rnacentral:rRNA from 1 species
GUGCCAGCAGCCGCGGUAAGACAGAGGGUGCAAACGUUGCUCGGAUUUACUGGGCGUAAAGCGCAUGUAGGCGGGACGAUAAGUCGGGUGUGAAAUCCCUGGGCUCAACCUAGGAACUGCAUCCGAAACUGCCGUUCUGGAGUAGUGGAGAGGAAAGCGGAAUUCCGGGUGUAGAGGUGAAAUUCGUAGAUAUCCGGAGGAACACCAGUGGCGAAGGCGGCUUUCUGGACACUAACUGACGCUGAGAUGCGAAAGCGUGGGGAGCAAACAGGAUUAGAUACCCUAGUAGUCC